rnacentral:sRNA from 2 species
CACCGGCGCAUGAUUGGCGCCGCGGUCUGAAAGCCGGCUCGUCCCCCGCCGCUUCAGACUUCAGGACAAAGGCCUUAUCCCCCCUCUCCGGGCCUUUGUCCCCUGUUACGAAAGUCGUCACGGCGCCGCCUCCGGCCGUGGCGACUUUUC